UAACUUGAAAUAUUUUAUUUAUUUUUUAUUUUAUUUUAUUUAAAUAAAUAAUAUUUACAAUUUGUAAUAAUAUUUAUUAACGAUUACGAUACGUAAAUUUGAUAAAUAAAGAUAACAAUAGCAUGAAUAACACGAAGAAGGAGGUCCCCCAGUGUGGAAAACCUCUGACUUGGGGAGAUAGAGAAGUUUUUUUAGUUAAUUAAUUCAAGUCAAAAUUCAAGAGAACUUGACACCAGGGUUUUUUUAAUUGACGUGGUUAUCUAGGAUAAGUUCAUUGAUUAAGUUAAAUGUUAGUGCAUUUGUGUUGUUAAUUGAUUUGGUAUGGAAUUUUUUAUUGUAGUUUUUAGCUGUAAUAGAGACUGUUUUAAUUUUAGGUUAUUGUGUAUAAUGAGACGUUAAUGAGACAUAUUAUGGCACAGAUAUUGGCAAAAAAAACUGACUGGAAAGCCUAGAUAGUAUGUUUUUGAGAAAGCUUGAUACAUCCUCAUAUUAGGAAGCCAAUUUUAUUUACUUAAAAAUAAAAAAUUGAAUGUUAUUCAGAUUAAAUUGAAUUUUUAAAGUUUUUAAAGAAAAUUGUAUUUAUGACACAACCAGUGGUUUUUACAUGAACUCAACAAAUUGAACAAAUUUUAGUGGUUUGGUUAUCUUGAUUAUCAUAGACGUACUAUGGCCCUUAAUACUACGCAGUAGGUAGAUACUUACUACUAUAACCAAUAUAGUAUAUCUUUAUUAGUUGAUUUAUAACUUCCGCCACACGUCACAUUAAAAUGCACAUCAUAUCGUUUAUGCACAAUGCAGUAUGCGUCAUUAGUCAUUACUUACAGCGUACCUUGUGUUCAAAAUAUCAAACAAUCAAUAUGUCGGCAAAAUAUUGUUAUUUAAAUAUUUAAAUAUAAGUAGUGAGAAAAAACAUUUGUCUUUAUAACUAAUAAAACUAUUUUGGCAAACAAUAAAAUAUGGGGUGUAAUACACGAUGAUUUUCUACAUAUUGUGUAAAGAGCAGAGAGAAAAAAGGAUUUUUAGACGAAAAGGAUGUAAAACAACUCUAAGCUUUGGAGGAUCUUGUACAUCAUACAAGUUUACGGAUUGUUAUAGAGAAGAUGGAGAAAAAUAUCAUAAAUAUAUUUUGAAUUUAAUAUUUUAAUAAUGAAUUAUAUUUAUAAGAUAUAGGUAUCAGGAAUUGAUUUGGUCCAAUGUUCAGCAAUAGAAUAAUUGUAAAACUGGUCCACGAUUAAUAAUAUUGAUAAAGAAGUUUCUGCGGCUAAAUACUUAUAAUUUUCCGAUAGAAAAUCCGAAGACAAAAAUGAUGAUCAUACGACAUUCAAGAAUAUACUGGGCUUUUAAUUGAUGGUUGGAAAAUCCCAACCCGUAGAGAUGACUCUAUGUGGUGCCGACGGAUCACGGAAUUCCGGUUCCGCCUAACGGGAGACGCACAGAAGGCAAACUGUACAAAAUCGAACAUCGACGGAUCAAUCAACAGCGACCAGAGAGGGUCAACAUCGCACUCCAUCCGAAGACAAAACUCCGGAAGGGUUGUAGUUUAUAAGCGCAUAAUAUGACCCAAACGCAACCCAAAAGCGAAAAAAUAAAUAACCCAUAAGCGCAAAUAAAAUUACCUUUUUAAUAACCCAUAAGCGUAAAUAAAUUUUUUAAAAAAAGUGUAUUUAAUUAAAAUCGUAGUUAUUAUUAAUGUUAAAUUAAGCAUUUACAGUGAUAUUAAAAUUAAUUCAAAAAAUAAAAAAAUCAGUAAAACAUAAUAAUAUAAUUUUGAGUAUUAUUUUAAAUUAGUUAAACAAGUAUCAUGAAUAAAUAAAUAAAUAUAUUAAACUAAUAUAAUAAUGAAUAGGUAUCUUAAAAUUAAAUUUGAAAUUUAAAACCCACUGUCUUCAAAUAUUCCAAUCUAGAAUUUUUUUUUUCACAAGGUCCAAGUUUUUGUAUUGUCUUGGAACUGGUAAGGCCGUGCGCACAUGAAAAGUGUCGAGCGUCGCGCGUUAGGUCAGUAAAAUAUUGUAUCAGGUAAUACAAUUUAUUUUUGCGAUUUUAUCCCACUACCAAGGUACAAAAGCCCAAAUUCAUUUUAAAAUAAAAUGAAAAAAAUGUAUAAAAUAAUUUAAAUGUCCGCCAUAAGUAAUUUAACCGCAACAUGUAAAAUGUAAUAAUAUGUCACAUACAAUUAUUUAAAUAAACGAUGGCGAUGUCGCGGAAGUUAUUUGAAAAAGUAUAGUUCCCGCGGCAUCGUCGAUUCAAACAGGAAAAAAAAGUGUCCUUAUUGAUAGGUUAAGAUAUGAGUUAAGGCAUAAUAUUUUACUAACACAGAAAUGAAUUUAAAUAUAGGUAAUACAGUCGAAUGUAGUAUUUUUUUUUUUUUUUUAAUACUUAACAUGUAAAUAAAACUAAACAUCAUUUUUAA